AAACCCAUCCGGGGGCCUCGCGCUUUGGUGACUCUAGAUAACCUCGGGCCGAUCGCGCCCUCGGCGGCGGCGACGUGUCUUUCGAAUGUCUGCCCUAUCAACUUUCGAUGGUACUUUCGGCGCCUACCAUGGUGACCACGGGUAACGGGGAAUCAGGGUUCAAUUCCGGAGAGGGAGCCUGAGAAACGGCUACCACAUCCAAGGAAGGCAGCAGGCGCGCAAAUUACCCAUUACCGACACGGUGAGGUAGUGACGAAAAAUAACAAUACAGGUCUCUUUCGAGGCCCUGUAAUUGGAAUGAGCGUAUCCUAAACCCAUGGGCAAGGACCCAUUGGAGGGCGUCUGGUGCCAGCAGCCGCGGUAAUUCCAGCUCCAAUAGCGUAUAUUAAAGUUGCUGCAGUUAAAAAGUUCGUAGUUGGAUGUCGGUAGUGCCUCCCGGCGCUCCCCGGAUGCCCUUAGCUGGGUGUCCGACGGGGCCCGGAGCGUUUACUUCAGUGUUCAAAGCAGGCCGCAGCACGCCUGAAUACCGCAGCUAGGAAUAAUGGAAUAGGACAGUUCUAUUUUGUGUAAUUUGACUCAACACGGGAAACCUCACCCGGCCCGGACACGGAAAGGAUUGACAGAUUGAUAGAUCUUUCUCGAUUCUGUGGGUGGUGGUGCAUGGCCGUUUUUAGUUGGUGGAGCGAUUUGUCUGGUUAAUUCCGAUAACGAACGAGACUCCUCCAUGCUAAAUAGUUACGCGGCCCCUGGCGGUCGGUGUUUCAACUUCUUAGAGGGACAAGUGGCGUUUAGCCAUGCGAGAUGGAGCAAUAACAGGUCUGUGAUGCCCUUAGAUGUCCGGGGCUGCACGCACGCCACAAUGGGUGGAUCAGCAUGUGUCUACUCUGCGCCGACAGGCGCGGGUAACCCGCUGAACCCCACUCGUGAUUGGGACUGGGGAUUGAAACUAUUUCCCAUCAACGAGGAAUUCCCAGUAAGCACGGGUUAUAAGCUCGCGUUGAUUAAGUCCCUGCCCUUUGUACACACCGCCCGUCGCUACUACCGAUUGGAUGGUUUAGUGAGGUCCUUGGAUCGGCCCCGAGGAGCACACACAGAAGGAGCGCCAAGAAGACGGUCAAACUUGACUAUAUAGAGGAAGUAAAAGUCGUAACAAGGUUUCUGUAGGUGAACCUGCGGAAG
rnacentral:rRNA from 1 species